UACGUAGGGGCCGAGCGUUGUCCGGAGUUACUGGGCGUAAAGCGCGCGCAGGCGGCUCGUCAAGCCUGACGUGAAAGCCCCCGGCUCAACCGGGGAGGGUCGUCGGGGACUGGCGGGCUUGAGGUCGGCAGGGGUUGGUGGAAUUCCCGGUGUAGUGGUGAAAUGCGUAGAGAUCGGGAGGAACACCCGUGGCGAAGGCGGCCAACUGGGCCGGACCUGACGCUGAGGCGCGAAGGCGUGGGGAGCGAACAGG
rnacentral:rRNA from 1 species